GACGAACCGUGCGAACGUUGUUCGGAAUCACUGGGCGUAAAGCGCACGCAGGCGGAUUGAUAAGUCAGGGGUGAAAUCCCGGGGCUCAACCUCGGAAUUGCCUUUGAUACUGUCUAUCUCGAGUUCGGGAGAGGUUGGCGGAAUUCCUAGUGUAGAGGUGAAAUUCGUAGAUAUUAGGAAGAACACCAGUGGCGAAGGCGGCCAACUGGCCCGGAUACCUGACGCUCAUGUGCGAAAGCGUGGGGAGCAAACAGG
rnacentral:rRNA from 1 species